rnacentral:rRNA from 1 species
CCUACGGGAGGCAGCAGUGGGGAAUUUUGGACAAUGGGGGCGAACCCUGAUCCAGCAAUGCCGCGUGAGUGAAGAAGGCCCUCGGGUUGUAAAGCUCUUUUGUCAGGGAAGAAACGGUCUACUCUAAUACAGUGGGCUAAUGACGGUACCUGAAGAAUAAGCACCGGCUAACUACGUGCCAGCAGCCGCGGUAAUACGUAGGGUGCAAGCGUUAAUCGGAAUUACUGGGCGUAAAGCGUGCGCAGGCGGUUUUAUAAGACAGAGGUGAAAUCCCCGGGCUCAACCUGGGAACUGCCUUUGUGACUGUAAGGCUAGAGUGUGUCAGAGGGGGUAGAAUUCCACGUGUAGCAGUGAAAUGCGUAGAUAUGUGGAGGAAUACCGAUGGCGAAGGCAGCCCCCUGGGAUAACACUGACGCUCAUGCACGAAAGCGUGGGGAGCAAACAGGAUUAGAUACCCUGGUAGUCCACGCCCUAAACGAUGUCUACUAGUUGUCGGGACUUAAUUGUCUUGGUAACGCAGCUACGCGUGUAGUAGACGCCGCGGGUAGGUACGGUCGGCGAGAGUAAACUAACGAACGAAGUAGUACGGCGUGAGACGUCGCCGACGGACGACGACGACGGGAGGUUAGG